GGGGGGGGGGGGGGGGGGGGGGGGGGGGGGGGAGGCGGGGGGGGGCGCGGGGGCGGGCACCUGGUGGCGGGUGGCGGACGGGGGAGUAGUACAUCGGAACAUGUCCUGUAGUGGGGGAUAGCCCGGCGAAAGCCGGAUUAGUACCGCCUCCGAUCUACGGAUGAACGCGGGGGACCUUCGGGCCUCGCGCUAUAGGGUUGGCCGAUAGCUGAUUAGCUAGUUGGUGGGGUAAAGGCCUACCAAGGCGACGAUCAGUAGCUGGUCUGAGAGGACGACCAGCCACACUGGGACUGAGACACGGCCCAGACUCCUACGGGAGGCAGCAGUGGGGAAUUUUGGACAAUGGGCGAAAGCCUGAUCCAGCAAUGCCGCGUGUGUGAAGAAGGCCUUCGGGUUGUAAAGCACUUUUGUCCGGAAAGAAAUCCUUGGCCAUAAUACAGUCGGGGGAUGACGGUACCGGAAGAAUAAGCACCGGCUAACUACGUG
rnacentral:rRNA from 1 species